rnacentral:rRNA from 1 species
AGCAGCCGCGGUAAUUCCAGCUCCAAUAGCGUAUAUUAAAGUUGUUACAGUUAAAAAGCUCGUAGUUGAAUUUCGGGAUCAAUAUGUCGGUCGUGCCUCGGUACGUACUGGUAUCAUUGGUUUCUCCCUUCUGAUGAACCAUGAUGCCAUUAAUUUGGUGUCGUGGGGAAUCAGGACUGUUACUUUGAAAAAAUUAGAGUGUUUAAAGCAGGCUCACGCUUGAAUACAUUAGCAUGGAAUAAUGAAAUAGGACGUUUGAUUCUAUUUUGUUGGUUUCUAGGAUCGACGUAAUGAUUAAUAGGGAUAGUUGGGGGCAUUAGUAUUCAAUUGUCAGAGGUGAAAUUCUUGGAUUUAUUGAAGACUAACUACUGCGAAAGCAUUUGCCAAGGAUGUUUUCAUUAAUCAAGAACGAAAGUUAGGGGAUCGAAGACGAUCAGAUACCGUCGUAGUCUUAACCAUAAACUAUGCCGACUAGGGAUCGGAUGAUGUUAAUUUUUAAUGACUCAUUCGGCGUCCG